rnacentral:rRNA from 1 species
AGCGAGCCGCCUUCGUGGCGGAGGAACGUCCCGAUGUCGACAACUUCCGCCGCUACGCAGGAAAUUCCGCUCGACUCUACCUUUCUCUAACCGGGCAGUAUCGCAUGCAAAGCACCGGGUAACUCCCCGGUCUUCCACACACUACUUACUCGGCCGCCUACGUUCCCUUUACGCCUGUGAUUCCGAACAACGCUCGCUCCCCCCGUAUUACCGCGUGGGCUGGCACGGAGUUCUCCGGAGCUUCCUCUGGUGGCACCGUCAGUAGAGAAAAGUAUUUAUCAACCCAAUUUCCGGCCCACCUGAGGAGGGUUUACAACCCUAAGGCCUUCCUCCCCCACGCGGCGUCUCUGCGUCAGGCUUCUGACCAUUAAGCGCUAUUCCCCACUGCUGCCUCCCGAUUAAAUCCGGGGCGAGUCUCAGUCCCAGAGUAGGUGCUCAAGCUCUCACGUGGAUUACCCCUCAUAGCGUCGGUAGGACGUUGCCACACCAAC